rnacentral:rRNA from 1 species
UACGUAGGGGGCGAGCGUUGUCCGGAAUCAUUGGGCGUAAAGCGCGUGUAGGCGGCUUGGUAAGUCCGGUGUGAAACCUUGGGGCUCAACCCCAAGCCUGCACUGGAUACUGCUUGACUUGAGUCCGGAAGGGGCGAGUGGAAUUCCUGGUGUAGCGGUGAAAUGCGCAGAUAUCAGGAGGAACACCAAUGGCGAAGGCAGCUCGCUGGAACGGUACUGACGCUGAGGCGCGAAAGCGUGGGGAGCGAACAGG